rnacentral:rRNA from 1 species
UUGACCUGAACUCAGUCGAGAGCACCCGACUGUGAAAAUCAAACAAUUUUGACCUGAACUCAGUCGAGAGCACCCGCUGAACUUAAGCAUAUCAGUAAGCGGAGGAAAAGAAACUAAAUAGGAUUC